GGAGCAGCAGCAGGGCUUACAGCAGCUGGACUGGCAGCAGCCACAAGAGCCACAGCCUCCCUUGGAGCCCCCACAGGAGCCACAGCUAGAGCAGGAACAGGCUGGCACACAGCAGCAGACCGGCACACAGCAGCUGGAGCCACAGCCUCCCUUGGAGCCUCCACAGGAGCCACAGCCCCCCUUGGAACCCCCACAAGAGCCACAGCCCCCCUUGGAGCCCCCACAGGAGCCACAGCUGGAGCAGGAACAGGCUGGCACACAGCAGCACACGGGCUUGCAGCAGCAGAGGGGCACACAGCAGCUGGAGCCACAGCUCCCACAUCCAGAGCCACAGCCCCCACAGCUGGAGCCACAGCCUCCGGAGCAGCCACAGCAGCCCAUGUUUCUGGUGUGGAAGGUCUGGGGCUCCUCCCAGCGCUCCUUCCUCUCCGGCUUUCUUGGUUGACCACAGAUGCCUCGUGGGGAGGUCCUCAGCUCUCCUGCCCGGCUCAUCUCCAGAAGGCAGCGCCUGGCUCUGUCCCAGGGCAGGAGCCUCAUGCCCUCCUGCGGUUCUGGCCCACCGCCAGCCCCAGAUUUAGGCACUUCCUGCCAAAACCCUCAAAACAGAGCCUUGGGGAGAGUUUCAGCAAAUGCCUGCUCCUCACCAGUCGUGUUCUCACCUUAUUAUUAGUACGCAGUCAUAGCAGUGGGAGGAAUAAGCUCUCAGGGAGGGAGGGGAAGGACAUGUGGCCAGUUUGCCAAUGAGACAGAGACUAGAAGAAAAGAGUCAGUGAGACCAAGGCUGAGGGGUGGAGAAUUUACUUAGUGCUGCGCCCAGACCCAUUUUGGAUUUCCAUAGAUACACGUGAUCAUUUGGGUUAUAGGACAUCCACCUGCAAAUGCCAUGGAACUCCUGGCAGACACAGGAAAGAAAGGUUUGCUGUCUCCCAUGGAAUUAUCAGGAAGGGGAAUUCCAGGCACCUCCUUGAAAUGAAGGCCGUGUCCAGGUGCAGUCUGGCUGAGACACAUCACGGCAUGUAGGAAGGAGGGGCAAGAGUGCCAGUGACAUGGGAUAAUUUUAUCUUAUAGGGAACAGUCAGGGAGGGUUUUAUUCCAUUUCCUCAAGAGCUUGAAAAAGAAGCCCUGAGCAGGGGACUCAUUGUUCAACUCUGGAAGAGGAUAUGUGUCAAGGGUGUCACUUGUUGGGAAGCACAGAUCUUCAGGAGCUACCUGAGAGUUGUCUCUAGAGCCUCAGAUCUUGCACUGGCAACACACGGGGACACAGCAGCUGGACUGGGAACAGCAGGGCUUACAGCAGCUGGACUGGGAGCAGGAUGACCCACAGCCUGAGGAGCAGCAGGGCUUACAGCAGCUGGACUGACAGCAGCCACAAGAGCCACAGCCCCCCUUGGAGCCCCUACAGGAGCCACAGCUGGAGCAGGAACAGGCUGGCACACAGCAGCACACGGGCUUGCAGCAGCAGAUGGGCACACAGCCAGAGCCACAGCCCCCACAGCUGGAGCCACAGCCUUCAGAGCAGCCACAGCAGCCCAUGGUUCUGAUGGGUUGAGGGUAGAGCAGGUAGAGGAGCAGAUGAGAGGGAGGUGCAGGUGUGGAGCCCCCUGAGCCCGGGGCCUUUAUAUUCCCACCCAGGAUCAGGUGUGAAGCUGGGCACAUGGUCACUUCCUGGUUCCUGUUUGUGCCAUUUCCCCAGGGAAAUUUUGUUUGCUUUCUUAAAACUAGAAACAAUCACGUUCUGUUUGCUGUUUUGCAGUUCUGCUUCUGGCUCUGCAUCUCUACUCUGAGUGGUGCAUGCCACACCCAGUGUAUCAUGGAAGAGAAGAUCCCUU
ensembl:lncRNA